rnacentral:rRNA from 1 species
AGAGUUUGAUCCUGGCUCAGGAUGAACGCUGGCGGCGUGCCUAAUACAUGCAAGUCGAGCGAACUGAUUAGAAGCUUGCUUCUAUGACGUUAGCGGCGGACGGGUGAGUAACACGUGGCAACCUGCCUGUAAGACUGGGAUAACUUCGGGAAACCGAAGCUAAUACCGGAUAGGAUCUUCUCCUUCAUGGGAGAUGAUUGAAAGAUGGUUUCGGCUAUCACUUACAGAUGGGCCCGCGGUGCAUUAGCUAGUUGGUGAGGUAACGGCUCACCAAGGCAACGAUGCAUAGCCGACCUGAGAGGGUGAUCGGCCACACUGGGACUGAGACACGGCCCAGACUCCUACGGGAGGCAGCAGUAGGGAAUCUUCCGCAAUGGACGAAAGUCUGACGGAGCAACGCCGCGUGAGUGAUGAAGGCUUUCGGGUCGUAAAACUCUGUUGUUAGGGAAGAACAAGUACGAGAGUAACUGCUCGUACCUUGACGGUACCUAACCAGAAAGCCACGGCUAACUACGUGCCAGCAGCCGCGGUAAUACGUAGGUGGCAAGCGUUAUCCGGAAUUAUUGGGCGUAAAGCGCGCGCAGGCGGUUUCUUAAGUCUGAUGUGAAAGCCCACGGCUCAACCGUGGAGGGUCAUUGGAAACUGGGGAACUUGAGUGCAGAAGAGAAAAGCGGAAUUCCACGUGUAGCGGUGAAAUGCGUAGAGAUGUGGAGGAACACCAGUGGCGAAGGCGGCUUUUUGGUCUGUAACUGACGCUGAGGCGCGAAAGCGUGGGGAGCAAACAGGAUUAGAUACCCUCGUAGUCC